CAUCGAAGGGAUGAGUGCGUACCCAGAUAUGUUAGAUGAUGAUCAAAAAAUCCUUCCAGACUACAAUUAUCUGAUCGAUG